rnacentral:rRNA from 1 species
AAGCGGUGGAGCAUGUGGUUAAUUCGAAGCAACGCGAAGUAACCUUACCAGGUCUUGACAUCCCGAUGCUAUUCUAGAGAUAGAAAGUUACUUCGGUACAUCGGUGACAGGUGGUGCAUGGUUGUCGUCAGCUCGUGUCGUGAGAUGUUGGGUUAAGUCCCGCAACGAGCGCAACCCCUAUUGUUAGUUGCCAUCAUUCAGUUGGGCACUCUAGCGAGACUGCCGGUAAUAAACCGGAGGAAGUGGGGAUGACGUCAAAUCAUCAUGCCCCUUAUGACCUGGGCUACACACGUGCUACAAUGGUUGGUACAACGAGUUGCGAGUCGGUGACGGCGAGCUAAUCUCUUAAAGCCAAUCUCAGUUCGGAUUGUAGGCUGCAACUCGCCUACAUGAAGUCGGAAUCGCUAGUAAUCGCGGAUCAGCACGCCGCGGUGAAUACGUUCCCGGGGCUU